UACGUAGGGUGCGAGCGUUAAUCGGAAUUACUGGGCGUAAAGCGUGCGCAGGCGGUGAUGUAAGACCGAUGUGAAAUCCCCGGGCUCAACCUGGGAACUGCAUCUGUGACUGCAUCGCUGGAGUGCGGCAGAGGGGGAUGGAAUUCCGCGUGUAGCAGUGAAAUGCGUAGAUAUGCGGAGGAACACCGAUGGCGAAGGCAAUCCCCUGGGCCUGCCACUGACGCUCAUGCACGAAAGCGUGGGGAGCAAACAGGA
rnacentral:rRNA from 1 species